UGAGGAAUAUUGGUCAAUGGGCGUAAGCCUGAACCAGCCAAGUAGCGUGCAGGAUGACGGCCCUAUGGGUUGUAAACUGCUUUUAUACGGGGAUAAAGUGCGCCACGUGUGGUGUUUUGCAGGUACCGUAUGAAUAAGGACCGGCUAAUUCCGUGCCAGCAGCCGCGGUAAUACGGAAGGUCCGGGCGUUAUCCGGAUUUAUUGGGUUUAAAGGGAGCGUAGGCCGCAUGUCAAGCGUGUUGUGAAAUGCAGGUGCUCAACACCUGGAUUGCAGCGCGAACUGUCGUGCUUGAGUGUGCGCAACGUUGGCGGAAUUCGUCGUGUAGCGGUGAAAUGCUUAGAUAUGACGAGGAACCCCGAUUGCGAAGGCAGCUGACGGGAGCAUAACUGACGCUGAAGCUCGAAGGUGCGGGUAUCGAACAGGAUUAGAUACCCUGGUAGUCCGCACGGUAAACGAUGGAUGCCCGCCGUCCGCCCUUUUAUUGGGCGUGUGGCCAAGCGAAAGCAUUAAGCAUCCCACCUGGGGAGUACGCCGGCAACGGU
rnacentral:rRNA from 1 species